GACAGAGGAUGCAAGCGUUAUCCGGAAUGAUUGGGCGUAAAGCGUCUGUAGGUGGCUUUUUAAGUCCGCCGUCAAAUCCCAGGGCUACAACCCUGGAGCAGGCCGGUGGAAACUACCAAGCUGGAGUACGGUAGGGGCAGAGGGAAUUUCCGGUUGGAGCGGGUGAAAUGACGUGAGAGAUCGGAAAGAACACCAACGGCGAAAGCACUCGUGCCU
rnacentral:rRNA from 1 species